GGAUGCACCACCUACAUUUCCUAAAUCUGGGUUACGACCACCUGCCGUUCCUCAAGGCAGGUUACGACCACCUGCCGUUC